GCCGCCAUGGUGAAAUUGGU
rnacentral:tRNA from 1 species